AUUGAACGCUGGCGGCAUGCCUUACACAUGCAAGUCGAACGGUAACAGGUUAAGCUGACGAGUGGCGAACGGGUGAGUAAUGUAUCGGAACGUGCCCAGUCGUGGGGGAUAACUACUCGAAAGAGUGGCUAAUACCGCAUACGACCUGAGGGUGAAAGCGGGGGACCGUAAGGCCUCGCGCGAUUGGAGCGGCCGAUAUCAGAUUAGCUAGUUGGUGGGGUAAAAGCCCACCAAGGCGACGAUCCGUAGCUGGUCUGAGAGGAUGACCAGCCACACUGGGACUGAGACACGGCCCAGACUCCUACGGGAGGCAGCAGUGGGGAAUUUUGGACAAUGGACGCAAGUCUGAUCCAGCCAUGCCGCGUGCGGGAAGAAGGCCUUCGGGUUGUAAACCGCUUUUGUCAGGGAAGAAACGAGUUUCUCUAAUACAGAGACUUAAUGACGGUACCUGAAGAAUAAGCACCGGCUAACUACGUGCCAGCAGCCGCAGUAACAC
rnacentral:rRNA from 1 species